UUCCUUUUCGUACGGUGAAACUAGGUUUGCAGUUGAAUAGCGAUCGUGAUGCUGCUCUCAUGAAGCGGAAAUCCCUUCAUAUGUUCUAUGCCAUGCAUCAUGUGUAAAAUAAUUAGGUCUGGGUCCAUCUUGAAAUUUGACCACAAUUGGAUUUUAAAAAGCCAGUAUAAAAAACCAUUACCUUUCUUCGAGCUUUUGGACCGCAGUAAAGCUGACCUUUUUUACACCCGAUUCUAGUUUAUAAAAUUCAAAGCAGAAACAGAAGGCAUCCACACAUUUUCCGCCAUCUGUCAGUAUAAACUUCAGUCCUGACACAACUAUGAAAUCAGGAGCUCACAUGGGAAUGUAAAUACAUUUGAGGGAAUAUAUAGUUCAAAUAAACCGCAUUAUAUUAACCGGUAUUUAUUUAUUUAUUUCCCAGGAAGGGGGAGCAUCGGGGAAUCGGCAAAUCAAUAUUUUCUCGGCCUACGUUGCUGAGAGAAUAUUCCCCUUCUAUUAAAAAGAAAUAUUGCCUUUGGAGGUCAAUGCAUGGGAGUGAUUUUUCUCCCCGGCGUUACGUCGGGGCGGGAGAUACUCCCACCUGUUUUGUUUCUAUCAAAGAAAUUGCUCUGCAGAUGGAGCGCCGUACCCGUCCAUCACUUUCAGUUCGCUUUGAUUUGACACCGGCGCCACUUGCUUCCGUGCGGGCGAAUCGAAAUGGGAUUUUUUUUUUCUGAUACACCUGCGGGGAGGAGAGGGCAGUGCAGAGCCGUUACUGGGGCUUGAUUCCCUUCCACUUUUAUUUAUUUAUUUAUUUAUACGUAUGUACUUCUUUAUUUAUUUAUUUAUUCGUAAUAAAAUCAGACUGUGCUUCCUGCGCCCCGGCGUAUUGAUCGCCACGGCUUUGAUAAAUGACCCGGUUUCUCCAAUGUGCUGACUGAUACACUAUAGCCACUCUCGGAGCUCAAUCUCCAGCCCGGAAAAGGAAUGGCUCCAGCGCCGGAGUUUAACUUUGAUUAACUAAUACCUCCUGCACACUGCCGAGCGCCAGCCGCGCGGCGCUGAGAUAUGACCCGGAGCAGGCACUUUACGGGGCCGCCCUGUCCAUAAAUUCCACCGGCCGCGUGCGCCUCGCAUCGCGCCUGCGCCGCCGUAAGAAACUCCGGGCGCCUCGGGUUCGUAUGAUACCUUUUCGCCGUCGGCGUUACGCGAGAAAACAAAUGCUUUUCUGUUCUUGUUUUUUUAUUUUAUUUUUUAUUUGUGUAUUUAUUUGUUUGUUUUUAUUUUCGUGCUUUCGCAUUUGCCACACUACAUUUGCAGCAGCAAGCAAGCAAGCGCGUUUUGCAAGCCCCAGCUUGUUUUCAGGUGGUGCCGCUAGCUCUUGCUGUGCGAAUAGUGUUAGUGAAAUCACCGGAGAGCUGGACGCUAUGGAAGCGCACAUUUUCGCAGUCGUAUUCGUCCUGGGAAUUUCAGUGUACCUGACGCACGAUCACAAUGGAAGCAAAGCUAAGGGACCUCGAGUCAAGGGCCUGUGGAAUCUUGCCUUUACUCAAGCGGCCAGGACCUGCUCUGUGUCCUUUGCAGGGAUGUGAGCAAUGCCUACCCAGACAGGAAGUCAAGUCCCAGACAGGAAGUCAUGGUCUGCAGGGACUGGCGAUGGCGGAGCGACUGCUUGAUGUGGGAGCUGGUUUCGAGCGACCGUGGACCCUGUUCCUGGAACCCUGCCAUCCCUCUCCCUCCCUCAAAUCCUGCUGCCUUCCACACGUCCGCGGGACAGCACCGCCCACUCUCUCCGGAGGCCAAUUACGGCGCAGUCAGGACUCUUCUCUGGCUUGUUCACGCUGUUGGCUGUUGGGAUCUCCCGUGGACCCUCUACGAGGCGGAUUCAAAAACUACGAUAACUGGCUGGGUCGAUUUUUUUGGGAAAUUGAAUCUCCCGUCUGCCUCUGUGCCCUGAUUAAGGUCAUUGGGUCUGUGGUCUUCUGGUAAAAGAUGCAUUUGCUCCAACGUGUCUGAGGUAAGGAGCCACAGUCGUUCGAGGAGGCCAUUCAACAUUCCGAGCAAGCGUUUUUUAAAAAUGUGGGGGAUUUCAGUUCUUUGCGAAAGUGCAACUAAAUCGUGCAGGGCCUUGGGAUUUGGAAAGCCUUCUCAUGUGUCUGAGGACUUCUUCUGAAACCCAUUCAGGGGUUUUAUAUAAAAACUUGCAGCUUGAUUCCUGGCAUCUCAGGACCUUCAGUGAGACGCGUCUGAUUGCGGCAUCUUCAACAAGACAUGUCUGAGUCAUUUUGCAGCGUAAACACGAAAUAAUGGAAGGAACCGUGGCUCAAGAACUCCGGUGUAUCUCAAUUCAGAGUUCAUUUUUGAAUGAUGAAUUAAAUUCAUUUG